GUCAACCUGGGAUGCACAGAUCCUGCAGGCCUGUGAAACUGCUCUCAGAGAUCCAUAAAAAUGACUUAGAGAAGCAAGAUCAGGGAGAAAUGCUAGUUUUACUCAGAAGUGGGCUGUUGGUGAGGAUGGAUACUGCCUGUGUUGGUGGUGAUGCUUCAACCCUCCUGUGUGUCUGGAUUCUUGCCUUCUAAGAAAUUUGUUUCUAACACUGCUCACCCAGUGAAUGGCCUGCUGUCGCUGACCUCACUUCAGCUGAGCCAAUCAAAGUGCUUUUGGGUCAAGACUGACUAUCCAAAGUCGUGGAUCUUAGGUAGGUGGGAGCCCCCAGUAGCCGAGUGA
rnacentral:lncRNA from 1 species